UAAUAUUCAAAAGCAAGAUGACUAUACCUGAUGUUAGAAUAAUCCAUUCAUAAAUAAAAAAACAAUUACAAUCUAUAUGUAAUGUCCAAGAAAUUAAUUAGGCACUGAAAAUAUGAAUUAGACUAUGUGAGAAAAAUCCUUAGAAAAUACUUAGAAUGGAUUUUCAAUGAAGUUUGUUUGGACGGGCUAAGAUAUGUGUCCUGACGGGUUUGGCAGAAAGUCCAUGUCUGCAGCUGUGUUCGGUCAGGCUUGCGAAUGGGACUUCCAGAAAGUCACAACACAUGCACGUGUCCGGAAGGGCUAAUGCUAUGUCCAAACGAGACUUACAGAAAUUUUCCAUAUAUGAAUCCUAAAAUAUGUGUCUGGAUAGGCUAUUUGUGGGUUCGGAUAGGCUUGUGUUAAAGUUGCAGAAGUGAGGCCUUCAGCGCAUUUUUCCAAAUUUCUCUCUCUUUCUCUCUCUCACGAAAACUCUCCUCUCUCUUAAGUUUUUGAUCCAAAACCUUGGAUCCUUGAAGAUUAAAGCAUCCAAUCUCAAAUUCGACCUCGGAAACGUGAUCCUCGAAGCAAGAUCGAAAUUUUCACCAUUUGAUUUAAGAAGUACAUUGCGAGGCUUUGGUUGAUGAUUCAUCUUUAAGCCUUAUAUCGAGCAGCCAAAAAGUACCGCAGACGUCGAUGAAGACCAUGUGGCGCUAUACUUGGGAUACUACGACUAAAGCUCUUUGUUGGGGUCAAAGGUUUGUUGGACUCGGAUAGUCCAUGUUUUGUAAAGAUUUUGGUAUAUGGCUUGUGUCGAAUGUGACACGUAUUUUGUACAGCCAUUGUUUUGUGUAAUUAAUAUUUUAAUUAAGCUUUAAACAGAUAGACAAUGUAUUGGCUCUGUUGAUGUAGGGUGCG